GUAGGGCGAUCGGUCAGCACCGGAUACUGAGACACCGGUCCGGACUCAAUACGGGAGGCAGCAGUGGGGAAUCUUGCGCAAUGGGCGAAAGCCUGACGCAGCAACGCCGCGUGGAGGAUGAAGGCCCUUGGGUUGUAAACUCCUGUCGGUUGGGAAGAAAUUGUCCGGGGCUAAAUACCUCCGGACAUUGACUGUACCAUGCAAAGGAAGCCCCGGUAACUCUGUGCCAGCUAGCCAGGGGUUAAUACAGAGGGGGCCAGCCGUUAUUCGGAAUUAUUGGGCGUAAAGGGCGCGUUAG
rnacentral:rRNA from 1 species